rnacentral:tRNA from 1 species
GGGGCUGUAGCUCAGCUGGUAGAGCAAUAGCUUUGCAAGCUAUGGGUCAGGAGUUCGAUUCUCCUCAGCUCCACCA